AGUCGCGUGGUCUAAUGGUUAUGAUAUCUCGUUCACAGUUAAAGUGAGCCCUUCCACUGGAAGAUCCGAGAUGGUUCCCGGUUCGAUCCCGGGCGCGACUA
rnacentral:tRNA from 1 species